ensembl:snRNA U6 U6 spliceosomal RNA
AUGCCCGCUUUGUCAGCACAUGUACUAAAGGUAGAACAAUACAGAGAUUAGCCUAGGCCCUGUGCAAGGAUGACACUCAAAUUCGCGAAGUGUUUCAUAUUUAU